UACAGAGGUGGCAAGCGUUGUCCGGAAUCAUUGGGCGUAAAGAGCUCGUAGGCGGCUCAGUAAGUCGGGUGUGAAACCCUCAGGCUCAACCUGGGGACGCCACCCGAUACUGCUGUGGCUAGAGUCCAGUAGGGGAGUGUGGAAUUCCCGGUGUGAGCGGUGAAAUGCGCAGAUAUCGGGAGGAACACCAGCGGCGAAGGCGGCACUCUGGGCUGGAACGUGACGCUGAGGAGCGAAAGCGUGGGUAGCAAACGAGG
rnacentral:rRNA from 1 species